AGCCUGGAUCACUGAGUCACCACAUGGAGGACUACCCUCUGGAGAGUUAUUCAUCCCAUAGCAGGAUGGAACAUCUCUUAAUUUCAUGCUGCCAUGUUUGUGCUUCCAGGUACCUGAGGUACAUUCAGAAAGGCCAGACUCUGGGUUCCUUCUGGCAUUGGGAGGAAGAAGGCAUCCCGGAAAUCAAGGUACUUAAGAACCAGAGCCUUGUGUUGACAGAAAUAUGUGUCCCUAUGUGCAGGUGGGUUGUUUUGGUCAAAAGAACGUAGCUGACCUCCAAGGGACCUCAUGCCGUAGGUGCCCUGUGGUCAGGUGUCUGAGCAGGGAGAUGGCAGGACAGCAAGCUGCGUGGCAGAGGAGGAGCAGGGCAGGGAGUCCUCCAGAC
rnacentral:lncRNA from 9 species